CGGGUGCGCGCGCACGCCGGGCCGCCGCGGUCGGAGGUCGCGCCAAGAUGGCGGGAGUGCCGGCGGUGCGCAUCAGCAUCGAGUCGGCGUGCGAGAAGCAGGUGCAGGAGGUGGGGCUGGAUGGCAGCGAGACCUACCUGCAGCCGCUCUCCAUGUCCCAGAACCUGGCGCGCCUGGCGCAGCGCAUCGACUUCAGCCAGGGCUCCGGCUCCGAGGAGGACGAGCCGGGCUCGGCGGGCCGCGCCUGGGCCGAGCCGGGCGAGGCGGAGGAUGAGGAAGGGUUGGUAAAGUUUCAGCCCUCCCUCUGGCCUUGGGAUUCAGUGAGGAACAACUUAAGAAGCGCCUUGACUGAGAUGUGUGUGCUGUAUGAUGUCCUUAGCAUCGUCAAAGAUAAAAAGUUCAUGACUCUAGAUCCAGUUGUACAAGAUCCUCUUCCUCCAAAGCAGAAUCCUCAAUUUCUCCAACUGAUUUCAAAAAAGAAGUCAUUAGCUGGAGCAGCUCAAAUCCUGUUGAAAGGCGCAGAAAGGUUAUCCAAGUCGGUUGCAGAAAACCAGGAAAAUAAGCGGCAGAGAGACUUCAACUCAGAGCUGCUGAGGCUGAGGCAACACUGGAAGCUGAGGAAGGUGGGAGACAAAAUUCUUGGUGACUUGAGCUACAGAAGUGCAGGCUCCCUUUUUCUUCAUCAUGGCACAUUCGAGGUGAUAAAGAACACUGACAUUGACCUGGAUAAAAAGAUACCCGAGGACUACUGUCCUUUGGAUGUUCAAAUUCCAAGUGAUUUAGAAGGAUCAGCCUAUAUCAAGGUUUCUAUUCAGAAACAAGCUCCAGACAUUGGUGACCUUGGGACAGUCAAUCUCUUCAAAAGACCCAUGCCAAAAUCAAAACCAGGUUCUCCACACUGGCAGACAAAGUUGGAGACAGCACAGAAUGUUCUCUUAUGUAAAGAAAUUUUUGCCCAACUAUCACGAGAAGCUGUUCAAAUUAAAUCACAAAUUCCUCACAUUGUUGUGAAAAAUCAGAUCAUCUCUCAGCCUUUCCCAGGUUUGCAGUUGUCUAUUUCCCUCUGUCACUCUUCCAACGACAAAAAAUCACAGAAGUCUGCUUCUGAAAAACAGAAUCCAGAGGAUCAUCUCUAUGUUCUGGAACAUAAUUUGCAUCAGCUUAUCAGAGAGUGUCACAAACAAACCCUGAGCUCAACAGUGAUGCCCCAUCCAGCUAGUGCACCUUUUGGCCAUAAGAGAAUGAGACUUGCAGGACCUCAGGCUUUUGAUAAAAAUGAUAUCAGUUCUUUACAGUCCAAUGAGGGACUUCUGGAAAAGAUAAUAAAGCAGGCAAAGCAUAUCUUUCUGAGACGCAGGACUGCUCGAACCAUUGACAGUCUGGCCAGUCGUAUUGAGGAUCCUCAGAUUCAGGCCCACUGGUCCAAUAUAAAUGAUGUUUAUGAAUCCAGUGUUAAAGUUCUAAUAACAUCUCAAGGAUAUGAACAGAUAUGCAAAUCCAUUCAACUGCAGCUGAACAUUGGAGUUGAGCAGAUCAGAGUUGUGCACAGAGAUGGAAGAGUUAUUACGUUGUCCCAUCAAGAGCAAGAACUACAGGAUUUUCUUUUAUCUCAGAUGUCACAGCACCAAGUACAUGCAGUUCAGCAGCUUGCCAAAGUUAUGGGCUGGCACGUGCUGAGUUUCAGUAACCACGUUGGUCUGGGGCCAGUGGAGAGCAUUGGCAAUGCAUCAGCAAUAACUGUAGCGUCACCAAAUGGGGACUAUGCCAUCUCAGUACGUAACGGGCCGGAAAGCGGCAGCAAAGUCAUGGUUCAGUUUCCACGCAGUCAGUGCAAGGAUCUCCCCAAAGGUGAUGUGCUGCAAGACAACAAGUGGAACCAUCUUCGAGGGCCCUUCAAGGAAGUGCAGUGGAAUAAAAUGGAAGGGCGUAACUUUGUCUACAAGAUGGAACUGCUGAUGGCCGCCCUGACGCCGUGCUGAGGUCUCUCUGCUGUGAGCCACCACUGCCUCUGCAGCAAAGGCAGAUGGAAACCCUGGGGCAGCACAAGGAGGCAAACCCAAAGUGAUAUCCUGUACAGAUCUGUCCACUGUAGUGUUGCUUUAUGGUGUUACCCCUUGUCCUGUCACUGGAUACAACAGAGGAAAAAGUGAUGCCCCAACCUCCUAACAUCCACCAUUUAGAUAUUUCUAAAUAUCAGCGAGAUCCUCCUCAGUCUCCUCUUCUCCAGACUAAACAGCCCCAGUUCCCGCAGCCUUUCCUCAUAAGAAAGAUGCUUCAGUCCCCUGAUCAUCUUGGUGGCCCUGUGCUGGACUCUCUCCAGCAGUUCCCUGUCACUCUUGAACUGGGGAGCCCAGAACUGGCCACAGGACUCCAGAUGAGGCCUCAGCAGAGCAGAGGACACGGGGAGCAGAACCUCCCUUGACCUGCUAGCCAAAAUUUAGGCUCCAAAUGUUAGGCUCAAAAUUGAGACUUCAAGACUUUGUGGCUUGACUGCACUCUUAGGGAGAUACCUGUUAGUUUGGGUGUCGUUGUCUUCUGGAACAGAUGCAGAGAUUUAUUACACAGCCACAUGAAGCAGAUCAAAAUGGCCGACACUCCAGCAAGAAAUGCAAAGAGAACUGCUACAAAAUGUAAAUCUUCAUAGAUAAUCUCUGCAGGGAGGGACAGAAAGGAAGUGAACGUUACAAAAUGGAUUAUGAGCAGAUUAAUGUUUAAACACGGGAUACAGCCAAGAACUCCCAUCUAGUUUGUACCGGAGAUGUUGACUACGAUGGUGCCGUAGGUGUUGGUUCCGUACUCCUCCGUUACAGUGACGAAGUAGUAGCCAGCAUCUCUCAUGCCCACGUUCAGCAGCUGGAUGGAGCCAUUUUCAAAGGUAGUCACUCUGUCCUUGUACACCGUGGAUAUGUUGACAUCAUUCCCACUUCUCCACUCAACAAUUUUGGUGGUGCCCCAGCUCGACACGUGCUUCCACUCAACCGUGGCGACGCCUCUGCAAGAGUAUUCAACCGAGAGGAGGAUGUUUUGUGCCACCGUUGCAUUGAUGUUGGGUUGUGGGACAACUAAUGAUACUCCUCCGGGAGCUGAAAGACAAAGGAGGGUGAUGAGUGUGGAGGUGAUGCAGCACUCACUGUCCAGGGCAGGAUGGGACCUCUGGGGUGUGAUUCAUCCUACCUAUCUCAGUGGUUUGCUUUAAGAGAGGAUAGAUUAUGCUUUGCAGCUUCUCUUCCUUUCUGCUGACCAUAAAAGGAACAGGCAUAUUAAAUACACAUUUUAAUUGGUGAUGGGAGAAAUACUUCCACCACACAGGACAAGUAACUGCGUAUGAAACAGUGUUUUGUUACCCAAGUAGAGGGAGUUUGGAAAAGUCUUUUUGGGCAAGGGAGCAUAACAUUUUUUCUGAAAACUGAGCAGGUUUUGUAUUCAUCAGUAACUGGCUUUCUUUUAAAAUCCAGCAUUUAAAUGCAAAGUGUAAUCAUCAUGGCCAAGGUAACAGUAAUUAACAACCAUCCUCCAAAAGCAAGAACCACAGAAGGCUUAAAUAUGUGAAGAUUUGGCAGGGACUUCAUCAUGUUUUCAGGAUGCAUAAUCAACAUUUGAGACAAUAGCUUCACUAAGGCAGCCAGUGAUGUGCCAGAGCAGAUGAACUCCAUGUGAUCAAAGGUACAGUGUGUCAUGCAAAGUUAGAGACUUCAUGUUCCAGGCAAAAAAUGCAUGUGAAUGAAUAUUUAAUUCUCACCUAGUUCCUACUGAUGUGAUUACAGAGCUGUUCAUAACACCGUGAAACUGAACUGACCAUUUAGUUUAAUGUGUAACUGCAAUCAUUUUUGCGUGUGUGUGUGUGGCUAUUUCUGCAUGAACAUUUGGAUGAGCACCAAACUGCUGAGUUUUAUUGGCAUACAUUCUUUUUAUAAUUAAAAUGGCGUGAUUGAGACAC